GACGAACGCUGGCGGCGUGCUUAACACAUGCAAGUCGAACGGAAAGGCCCUGCGUUUGUGGGUUGCUCGAGUGGCGAACGGGUGUGUAACACGCGAGUAACCUGCCCUUGUCUUUGGGAUAACUUCAGGAAACUGGGGCUAAUACCGGAUAGGAGCUCCUGCUGCAUGGUGGGGGUUGGAAAGUUUCGGCGGUUGGGGAUGGACUCGCGGCUUAUGCGCUUGUUGGUGGGGUAGUGGCUUACCAAGGCUUUGACGGGUAGCCGGCCUGAGAGGGUGACCGGCCACAUUGGGACUGAGAGACGGCCCAGACUCCUACGGGAGGCAGCAGUCGGGAAUAUUGCACAGUGGGCGGAAGCCUGAUGCAGCAACGCCGCGUGCGGGAUGACGGCCUUCGGGUUGUAAACCGAUGUCGCCUGUGACGAAGCGGUAGUGACGGUAAUGGGUAAAGAAGCACCGGCUAACUACGUG
rnacentral:rRNA from 1 species